rnacentral:tRNA from 1 species
UGCCGGGUGGCCAAAUGGUAAGGCAUCUGUCUCUGGAUCAGAGGACUGUAGGUUCGAGUCCUACCCCGGCAGCCA